GUCUUCUUCGUCAACAGCUUCAUUAGGUGUAAGAUCCAGUUUUUUCUUUUCUCAAUCUACAUUCCUUCAACCGUUUCUUCCUGUAUUGGAGUGUCCUUGCGUGAUUGCUACGUUUAUGGCUUUUCAUAUUCGGCUUGAAAUUGCCCCUUGGAAGUUCAAAACCACUCUGAGAAAAAAGAGGUCGAGGUAAAGCACAUUAUUUUCCUUUGCAACUUGAUCUUUUCUGUCAUUCUCGCUCUUUCAUUUUUCUCCAUCACACGCCUACAUUUUUUGUUUCAGGUAUUGAUGAACCCUUUAGGUGACUGGUUUUUUUUUUUGGGAUUAUUGUUAUACUACAUUAUGAAUUUGUUAGCUCUGUCUUGCUCGAAACAGUUUAAAUUGCUUAAAAUAGAUAAGGUUUUGGUCUCUGAAUUGGGCAAUAUGUAAAAUACAAUGCUUUCUUUCCCUGUUCUAUUGUCUUUGUUCUCUCUUUUCGGUACCCUCACAGGUUUUGUUGCCAUCGUUUUUUGCACAUUUCCUUCAAAAUUAAAAGGAAUUUUGUUUCUUGAUUAGAGGAAGGUGUUAGGGACCCUUCUCUAUAUACCUUGCUUGUCUUCACAAGCUUGUAGGUCACAAAUUAAUUGACUACAAAUACUGAGGUUAUAUUGGAGUAAGGGUAAGCUUCUUUUUAUCAUUUUGGUCAUUGAUUUAUGCUUGCAAAAAAAUAAAAGAUCAAUUAAGAUGAUGGAUACAUUGUUAUUGACUAAUAUUAUGUGCUCUAAGAACAGAAGGAUCUAAUGCCUCAUAUUUUCAACCUCAAAAUCUACUUGUUUUAUUGUCAACUCUUACUUCUCCCAUUAAAGCAUUGAAGCUUUUAAUAGUAGUGGAACCCUCCAAUCGCAUCCCAUGAUUGGUAGUCAAGACAGUAUAAAUUUUGACUGGAUGGCGCACAACCGGAGCUCUUUGGGUGGAGAUGGGUCACAACAGUGGCAAAAUCAUGGUUAUUGAUUAUUGCACCAUUUUUAAAGGCUUUUUGUGAAGUAAUAUUUUGACGAUUUUGAUGAAAAACGCAUUGUAAUUAUUGGUUCAUUGAAGAGAUUUUAUGUGUGUCAAUCAUGUAAUUAUGUAUUUAUGGGUGAAGGAGGAGGUAUAUUUCUUUAAUUUUGUAAAAUUGGUGGUAUUUUGUGUAUAAUGUGUAAUUAUGAAAGUGGAGUGAAGGACUCGGUUAUAGCAAAAUUCCUUGGACAGAAAAUCAAUUUACUUGUUAUUGAGGAUAAA